UCCCCGAUAGCUCAGUUGGUAGAGCGAGCGGCUGUUAACCGCUAGGUCCAAGGUUCGAGUCCUUGUCGGGGAGCUA
rnacentral:tRNA from 1 species